rnacentral:rRNA from 1 species
GGACUACUAGGGUAUCUAAUCCUGUUCGCUACCCAUGCUUUCGCUCCUCAGCGUCAGUUACUACCCAGAGACCUGCCUUCGCCAUCGGUGUUCUUCCUGAUAUCUGUGCAUUCCACCGCUACACCAGAAAUUCCAGUCUCCCCUGUAGUACUCAAGUCAGCCCGUAUCGCCUGCACGUCCAGGGUUAAGCCCUAGGAUUUCACAGACGACGUGACAAACCGCCUACGAGCUCUUUACGCCCAGUAAUUCCGGACAACGCUCGCACCCUACGUAUUACCGCGGCUGCUGGCAC